CUCAAUGCAUCACAAUGGGCCUCUGCGCCCAGGACUUUAUUCCUACAGCCCUCCAAUUCGAACACACCCCUUUGACCCAUCAAUGCAGAACCAGGCCCAAGAUGCUUUCUGUUGGAUGACAAAAAGAAACCCAGUCUUGGGCCUGAACCAUAUAGGCCUAUUUUGGUUGUCCUUUUUUGUAGUUAAUUCAUACUUUUCUUUGAUAAUUGUGAUUGAUAUUAGGAUUAUGUAAAUUAAAUUU
rnacentral:lncRNA from 1 species